rnacentral:rRNA from 1 species
GACGAACGCUGGCGGCGUGCUUAACACAUGCGAGUCGAACGGAAAGGCCCUGCUUUUGUGGGGUGCUCGAGUGGCGAACGGGUGAGUAACACGUGAGUAACCUGCCCAUGACUUUGGGAUAACUUCAGGAAACUGGGGCUAAUACCGGAUAGGAGCUCCUGCUGCAUGGUGGGGGUUGGAAAGUUUCGGCGGUUGGGGAUGGACUCGCGGCUUAUCAGCUUGUUGGUGGGGUAGUGGCUUACCAAGGCUUUGACGGGUAGCCGGCCUGAGAGGGUGACCGGCCAGAUUGGGACUGAGAUACGGCACAGACUCAUAGGGGAGGCAGCAGUGGGGAAUAUUGCACAAUGGGCGGAAGCCUGAUGCAGCAACGCCGCGUGCGGGAUGACGGCCUUCGGGUUGUAAACCGCUUUCGCCUGUGACGAAGCGUGAGUGACGGUAAUGGGUAAAGAAGCACCGGCUAACUACG